rnacentral:rRNA from 1 species
GAUGAACGCUGGCGGCGUGCCUAAUACAUGCCAGUCGAGCGAACGGACGAGAAGCUUGCUUCUCUGAUGUUAGCGGCGAACGGGUGAGUAACACGUGGAUAACCUACCUAUAAGACUGGGAUAACUUCGGGAAACCGUAGCUAAUACCGGAUAAUAUUUUGAACCGCAAGGUUCAAAAGUGAAAGACGGUCUUGCUGUCACUUAUAGAUGGAUCCGCGCUGCAUUAGCUAGUUGGUAAGGUAACGGCUUACCAAGGCAACGAUGCAUAGCCGACCUGAGAGGGUGAUCGGCCACACUGGAACUGAGACACGGUCCAGACUCCUACGGGAGGCAGCAGUAGGGAAUCUUCCGCAAUGGGCGAAAGCCUGACGGAGCAACGCCGCGUGAGUGAUGAAGGUCUUCGGAUCGUAAAACUCUGUUAUUAGGGAAGAACAUAUAUGUAAGUAACUGUGCACAUCUUGACGGUACCUAAUCAGAAAGCCACGGCUAACUACGUG